CUACGGGGUGCUGCAGUGGGGAAUAUUGCACAAUGGGCGCAAGCCCGAUGCAGCCAUGCCGCGUGUAUGAAGAAGGCCUUCGGGUUGUAAAGUACUUUCAGCGGGGAGGAAGGGAGUAAAGUUAAUACCUUUGCUCAUUGACGUUACCCGCAGAAGAAGCACCGGCUAACUCCGUGCCAGCAGCCGCGGUAAUACGGAGGGUGCAAGCGUUAAUCGGAAUUACUGGGCGUAAAGCGCACGCAGGCGGUUUGUUAAGUCAGAUGUGAAAUCCCCGGGCUCAACCUGGGAACUGCAUCUGAUACUGGCAAGCUUGAGUCUCGUAGAGGGGGGUAGAAUUCCAGGUGUAGCGGUGAAAUGCGUAGAGAUCUGGAGGAAUACCGGUGGCGAAGGCGGCCCCCUGGACGAAGACUGACGCUCAGGUGCGAAAGCGUGGGGAGCAAACAGGAUUAGAUACCCUUGUAGUC
rnacentral:rRNA from 1 species